AGUAACGCGUGGAUAACCUGCCUUACACUGGGGGAUAACACUUAGAAAUAGGUGCUAAUACCGCAUAAGCGCACAGCUUCGCAUGAAGUGGUGUGAAAAACUCUGGUGGUAUACGAUGGUUCCGCGUCUGAUUAGCUUGUUGGUGGGGUAAUGGCUCACCAAGGCGAUGAUCAGUAGCCGGCCUGAGAGGGUGAACGGCCACAUUGGGACUGAGACACGGCCCAAACUCCUACGGGAGGCAGCAG
rnacentral:rRNA from 1 species